UACGUAGGGGGGCUAGCGUUGUCCGGAAUCAUUGGGCGUAAAGAGCGUGUAGGCGGUCCGGUAAGUCCGCUGUGAAAGUCGGGGGGCUCAACCCUCGAAUGCCGGUGGAUACUGUCGGGCUAGAGUGCGGAAGAGGCGAGUGGAAUUCCUGGUGUAGCGGUGAAAUGCGCAGAUAUCAGGAGGAACACCUAUUGCGAAGGCAGCUCGCUGGGACGUUACUGAGCUGAGACGCGAAAGCGUGGGGAGCAAACAGG
rnacentral:rRNA from 1 species